AAUAGAUACCCCGGUAGUCCACGCUGUAAACGAUGAUCACUAGACGUCGGUUCGGCAUAGCCGGAUCGGUGUCGAAGCUAACGCGUUAAGUGAUUCACCUGGGGAUUACGGUCGCAAGACUAAAACUCAAAGGAAUUGACGGGGGUCCGCACAAGCGGUGGAACANUGUGGUUUAAUUCGACACUACGCGAGGAACCUUACCUGGGUUUGACAUGCAUUUGACUGUCAUAGAAAUAUGAUUUUUCGGGCUUCGGUUCGAACAGAUGCACAGGUGCUGCAUGGCUGUCGUCAGCCCGUGUCGUGAGAUGUUGGGUUAAGUCCUUUAACGAGCGCAACCCCUGCCAUUAGUUGCUACCUAUCUUUGAUAGGGCACUCUAAUGGGACUGCCUGGGAAACUAGGAGGAAGGUGGGGAUGACGUCAAGUCAUCAUGGCCCUUAUGUCCAGGGCUACACACGUGUUACAAUGGCUGGUACAAAGGGUUGCAAAGCUGUGAAGUGAAGCAAAUCCCAUAAAGCCAGUCUAAGUUCGGU
rnacentral:rRNA from 1 species